UAUAGGCACAGGCAGAAAUGCGCUGUAUACUCAUGCAAUCGAAUUAGCGUUUAAGCGAACUGUAAGCUCGCCGACCAUGAGUCCAUAACAACACCCCUAGAAGUAGUCGCCUGAUCAGCGACGAAACUAGGGGUAUUUUUUUA
rnacentral:ncRNA from 2 species